rnacentral:rRNA from 1 species
UACGUAGGGUGCAAGCGUUGUCCGGAAUUAUUGGGCGUAAAGAGCUCGUAGGCGGUCUGUCGCGUCGGAUGUGAAAACCCAGGGCUCAACCCUGGGCCUGCAUUCGAUACGGGCAGACUAGAGUUCGGUAGGGGGAGACUGGAAUUCCUGGUGUAGCGGUGAAAUGCGCAGAUAUCAGGAAGAACACCGGUGGCGAAGGCGGGUCUCUGGGCCGAAACUGACGCUGAGGAGCGAAAGCGUGGGGAGCAAACAGG